UCUUACGGCCACACCAGCUUGAGAACGCCGAAUGUCAUCUGACCUUGGAAGCUAAGCAAGUUUGGGACUGGAUAGUACUGAGGUGGGACUCUACCUAGGAAUACUAGGUGCUGUAAGUU
ensembl:rRNA 5S_rRNA 5S ribosomal RNA